UGGGGAAUAUUGCACAAUGGAGGGAACUCUGAUGCAGCAACGCCGCGUGCGGGAUGACGGCCUUCGGGUUGUAAACCGCUUUCAGCCAUGACGAAGCUUUUGUGACGGUAGUGGUAGAAGAAGCACCGGCUAACUACGUGCCAGCAGCCGCGGUGAUACGUAGGGUGCGAGCGUUGUCCGGAAUUAUUGGGCGUAAAGAGCUUGUAGGCGGUUUGUCGCGUCGAUAGUGUAAACACGCAGCUUAACUGUGUGCCUGCUGUCGAUACGGGCUGACUAGAGGAGGGUAGGGGAGAAUGGAAUUCCCGGUGGAGCGGUGGAAUGCGCAGAUAUCGGGAGGAACACCAGUGGCGAAGACGGUUCUCUGGACCUUUCCUGACGCUGAGAAGCGAAAGCGUGGGUAGCAAACAGG
rnacentral:rRNA from 1 species